UCUCCCCAACCCCUGCUGCAGCAUCUCCGUUUCCUGUUCGCCCUGCUGUGAGCAGCUCUGCUUCACUGGACCCUUCUGCCUUGAAGCCAACUGAUGACCGUAGACUGAAAUCUCUGUGACCUGCGGGCCAAAAUCAACCUCUCCUCCUCUAAGUUGUGGGUGCCGGGUACCAGGCCUCAGGAAUGAGAAGGUGACUAAGACACCAACACUCUGCCAAACCUGGAGGGGCCACGGACGAGCUACCAGUUGGAUCAUGGUGGCCAGCCCAGCAUUGGGGGAGAGAUGCUGGACGCCUGGACCUAGAGCAGUAGGAGUGAAAAUAGAGACCUCGAAAGCCUGAGAGAUGCAGACAGGGCGAGACUCAGC
rnacentral:lncRNA from 1 species